UUCAUUGUGUUAGCCAGGAUGGUCUCAAUCUCCUGACCUGGUGAUCCUCCAGCCUCAGCCUCCCAAAGUGCAGGGAUUACAGGUGUGAGCCACCGUGACUGGCCUGCAACUUUCUUUUAAGAAGGAAAUAGGGGAAAGGUUGUUAAAUAGGCUACUGACAAAAUUUUUCAAAUCUCCCCUCUCCUAGUUUACCAAAUAUUUAGACUCUGUGGCUUCUUAGAAACUCUUGUUUAUACAAAUAUAAAUUUGCCUCACUGCUAUUCCUUGUAUUAAGUUCUGCUUCUUUUUACUUACCGUUAAGUCACAUAAUGUCUUUCUUUAUAUAUUCCUAUAUCUUGUCCCAUUCCAAAAUAAGGUCACUUUUCCAUGAGUAUACAGAAUCUUAGCCAGGGGAGGUUUAAAAAAUAUCUAAUAACUAGUACUAAGAUGUUCAUUGACCACUGCUUCAUGUGGGAUCCUGGAGGCUGCUGGGCCAGGCAUUUACUAUUUAGUUGCUGGAUCAGGGGGAGUUCAGGAGGAUCCCUUGGAGCGUUGUUUCCUAGUGACUUGGAAAAAUGCAUGGCAUCCUUGAGUGUCUCA
rnacentral:lncRNA from 1 species